rnacentral:rRNA from 1 species
GACGAACGCUGGCGGCGUGCUUAACACAUGCAAGUCGAACGGAAAGGCCCUGCUUGCAGGGUACUCGAGUGGCGAACGGGUGAGUAACACGUGGGUGAUCUGCCCUGCACUUCGGGAUAAGCUUGGGAAACUGGGUCUAAUACCGGAUAGGAGCCAUCUUUAGUGUGGUGGUUGGAAAGUUUUUUCGGGGUAGGAUGAGCUCGCGGGCUAUCAGCUUGUUGGUGGGGUAAUGGCCUACCAAGGCGGCGACGGGUAGCCGGCCUGAGAGGGUGUACGGCCACAUUGGAGACGUAGUAGGGGCCAGACUGCUGAGGGAGGGAGCAGGGGGGGAAAUUGGACAAAGGGGGCCAGCCUGGUGGAGGGACGCCGGGGGGGGGAUGAAGGCCUUCGGGUUGUAAACUCCUUUCGCUAGGGACGAAGCUUUGUUGUGACGGUACCUAGAUAAGAAGCACCGGCUAACUACGUG